UUCCUGUAAUUAAAAUGGAUAGAAUCACCUUUAUUGUCAUAGUACAUGUACAACGAAAUUGUGGGUGCACCACACCAACUGUGCUGGAAUAAAAUAUAAGUAGUAGACAGCAGGAAUAAAGAGCAAACAAGUGAAACGUGCAAAAAUAAGAGAAAGGAACACAUUAGAGAACAAAUUGCAAAGUGGUUGGAAUUACUGCAAAGAAAGGACUUGGUCUGAACAGAGUCCGUGUGUGAGUGGCCUGAGUGAUGAGCGUUACUCAGUCCAUGAUACUCAGUUCAGAUUAGUGAGGUGGGUGGUCAUCAGUGGGGUGUAGGGGGAUAGUGUUUAUUAACAGUCCAAAUGGGCCCACGAAAGGAAGCUGUUUGUGAGUCUGGAGGUGUGGGACCUAACUGACCCAGAGGGCAGCAGGUCAAACAGGUGGUCAUUUGUGAUGGCCCAGGUUUUCCUGAGACAAGAGGAUCAGGCGAUGGCCUCUAGGAGUGGCAGAGGGCAGCCAAUUAUUUUUCUGGGCAGCGUUAAUUACCCUCUGCACAGCCUUCCCCGUUCACAGUUGUGGCCCCUGCGUACCAAACACCCAGGCAGAGUGCGCUCUCCACUGAGGAGUGAUAGAAGGCCAGCAGUAGCUUCUGGUCCAGGUUAUUUCUUCUCAGGACAUGGAGGAAGUGCAUCCACUGCUGGGCCUUCUUUACUAGGGCGACGGUGUUGUGGCUCCAGGUCAGACCGGCAAAGCUAUGGGUGCCCAGAUGGAUGGAUGGGAUGUUGACCAGUUACUCAUUUCAUUAGACAGGCUGGCUUUGUAAGAAGCUGAAUAAACCAAGGAAUAAUUUAAUCGGGUACAACAGAAUCUUUGUGACAAUUUUCAAAGCUAAAAGUAAUGAUGUCGCAUUUGAGUGCAGCUCAUUGUAAAGUAUGAAAAUUGUAAGGUAUGAAAAUGGUGGCUGGCAAAACAUUAGAAACAUUAGAAACCUGCUAAUGUUUCUAAGUCGUUUCAACAAGACUCCUUUAAAUGUGAGCAGAGCUGCAUAUUAAAACUGGGUAACAGUUGUUUUUGUUGCAGGGUAACCAAUGAAUUGCAUUGUACUAGAGGUGCAGCCAGUUCAUUGGUUACAAAUGGGUCAAAUUUAAAUGUUUUGCAGGAUUCUGCUGUAAUACAAUCAUAUAUAUUUUGAAGAAUGAAAAGAAUUAUGACCAGAAAGGCUGUUCUUAUGAAGACCGUCACUAUGUUCUACUCGAAGUAUAUUUCAGUAACUGAUUAGCUGAUUCCAGGUGAUUAGUUGGCUUACACCUCUUUUUUUGAUGUCAUGUAAUAUGUAAUGAUCACCACAAGGGGGAGAACAAACACCAUGACCAAAAAGCCUGUAUUAAUCUCUGUAAGUUGGCCACUAAGUGAUAAAUGAAUCAGCCUUUCUGUCAGCAACCUUUCUCCUUUACAUUUUAAAGCUUAUUUCUCACGCUAAGUAGGAAUACAUACACAUAUACCUGUCUUUUCUUUACAUUUUGCUUCCAAGGAACCAGACUUUCUUAUCCCAUGAUUAAGACCAAGUGGUAUUGCGCAAUAGUUCUGAGAGUUUUCCUUUGCACAUUGGCCAUUUAAAAAAAAAAAAAAAUCAAAUCAUUUUCAGUCCAGUCUAUUUUUAGAAGAAAGGUUGCUUUGGGAGGGGGGAUUGUUCUUGUUUAGCAGAGAACGAAUUCAAAACCAGUUCUCUGCCUUAGGUUACAUAAUCUGUUCCAAUUUCUUUAAUUUGACAGUUUAACAGGUAUAAAAUGGUACUUUUGCAACAACACAAUGAUUUCCAAACUUUCCAAGUUAACUGACAACCUGGCAUAUCUCACCAUGAUGCGCAGUGUGGUGUUCAAGUAAAUUUGAAGAACCUGGAGGACAAAAGUGGAGGACAAAAGUGGAGGACAAAAGAAGAAGUGGAAGGUAAAGGAGGUACAGGAGAGAGAUACAACAGUAAGUGUUUACAGCCAUCUGUGAAACAUGGUGGAGUCUCUGCCAUGAAUUGGAGCGGUUGGGAAUCAUGUAAAAAUGAAUGGAAAUAUAAAUGCAGACAAGCAGCAUCAGAUUUUAACCACCAUGCAAUACCAUUGAGAAAGCAACCAACUGGUAACAUCAUCCACUUUUUUUUUUCUGCUAGAAAAACACAAAAUAAAACACUAUCAGUCAUGGAAUGGCCUCCCCAGAGCCUGGAUUGCUACAUUAUUACAGCACGGGAUCAUCUUGACAGAAAAUAAAACAAACAGCAGUCAGGAUCCAAAAAAGAGCUUUGUAGGAACUCUGUUUUUGCCUUUUAUGUAUCUAUAGUUUCAGGCAUGUUUGCAUGUUCAUACUAUAAUGACUGUAGCUUCUGUUUGUAUGUUCCUCCUAGAGGAAGAGUUCUUCCUCCUAGACAAGUGCAUCAAUCUUGACGAAAUUUUGCAAAAACAUUGCCUAGGGUACUGUUAAUGCAACAUCUAUGUAAAUAUUUUAUACAAACUGUCGUAUAUAAUUGUACAUGUGAUGGCUCAGUUUAACUAAAUAAUAACCUUACAAGGCAUUCACUGUGUGCUACGCACAGGUCUUUGUAUUUAUAAAAAAUGCAAUUUUUUUAUACAUCCAAGUUUACUGUGACUUAUGUCAUUUUUAGAUCAGCGAUCUCCUGUCAAAUCUCCCAACUUGAAAACUGAGUGGACCGAUAGUGGGACAGGGAUGCAAUAGUAUAUGGAAACACUGCAGGUGGAUUCACUUGAUUCAUUUGGAUAGUCAAAAAAUUUUCUCUCUUCCUCUUUCUAAUGCUAGCACAGUAGCUCUGCAAUCAGCCUUCUCAGCGAUCAGCAUUUUGUUUUCGUCCACCUUAUCUCCUGUUUGCAGUUCCCUCUCUGUCAUUAUUAUGCUAUUAGUUUUUUAUCCUGGGGCUAAAACAUUGACCUUGAAGUCACUGCUAUGCUCAAAACAUGGUUUCCAAGAUAGCUUUUUCCUCACCCCACAUCUGAGAGUUGUCCCUAUAUCUUUCUCUCUCAAUACAUGAACACACACACACACACACACACACACACACAGAGACACGUACAUAUACAGUUCCAGUUUAAAUUCACUGUAUAUACUUGCGAAGACUAAGUUAUGCACAUUCAUUUGGAUCCAGUUCUAAACUCUGCUCAUAAACACGACAUCACUGUUUCCUUUUUGAAUAAAUGGCAUAAGAGUGUCGCAGAACUAAAAACCCAUUUGUUUUAUUACACUGAAGCAAGAAAGGAGAUUGUGUGGAAUCCAAUUAAAGAUUUCAGCACACCUGAGUCUCACUCACGACCUUUUUAUUUUCCUGUCCUGUCAUGGUGGAAGAAGACCGAGGGAGAGUGUUAUUUUUAUAUCAUUGUAUUAUUUCAAUCAUAAUGCUUUCAUUCUUUUCAAUCGUCAUUCAAAGAAGAUGAGAUGCUGCGUAAAAUGUAAAUAACAACAUUAUUGUUUUAAAUAUUUAUGUUGUAUUUUUAAGUUAAACUUGUGCAAAAACAUCAAAUGUUAAAGAUUCAGAGAAUCCAGAGAAAUCUUUGUUUGUAAUAGUGCAAUAAUGCUGUUAUUAAUGACUUUAACCCACACUGCAAUAAUAAAGCUAAAGCAGUUUUGUGCUGUAGUGUCAAUUCUUGGGCUCAGAAGCACUUACCACUGUAUCUUACCAUGCAUUUUAAAAUCAUGAACUUUAGCAUUAAAAAUAAAGGGAACUACUGGAUUGUUGUGACCACAGAGUUCAAAAUUCAGAAUUGGUGUGCGUUAGUGCACAUGCAUCAUUAAUGAUGAACAAUGUAUACGAGCAUGCUGCCAUUCUCAAUAUAUUCUAUUUUAGUACUGGUCUGUCUGCAGCAUCCAGUCCUGUCAAUCAUUGUAAACAAAUUGAUUUUAUGGAGCAAAUAAUGUAACAAUGGAGGACCGAAACGGAGAAGGUGAAACCCAGUAAUAAGCAAAAAAAACUUUGCAUUUGGUAUCUAAGGUUCACUAACACGUCAUCUCAUUAGAUACCUCAUAACACAGUUAUAUGUUACAUUCUUGCCUAGACUUUAUUUUUUAUUUUGCUGGCUCCAAAUUUAAGUCACUUCAACUGGAUCCUGUACCAGCUGCCAUAGGAUGAGAAGCAGGGUGCACCCUGGACAAGUAUUCAGUCUGUCACAGACAUCUCUCCGGACUCACACUGACACAUAAGUCAAAGGGGAGUGGGAAAGAACCCACACAAGCGUGGAGAGAACAGGCAAACUCCACACAGAAAGGCCCUAGUUGGCUGGUGGAUUUCAAUUCAUGACCCUCUUGCUGUGAGGCAAUAGGGCUAACCACUGUACCACUGUGCAGAGUCCUUUUACUUUUCCUAAUGCGCUAUUUGGCAUAAAGGACUCGUAAAUCAUUGUAAUAUACAGCUUUACUAAAAGUAUUGUGUGACACAUAUAAAAAUAGAGUAUAUAAAGUUGCAUUGGUGUAGCACGCAAAAGAUGCUAUCUUAUGUGUG
ensembl:lncRNA